CCCCAAUAGCUCAGCGGUAGAGCGGUCGGCUGUUAACCGAUUUUAGUCGUAGGUUCAAAUCCUACUUGGGGAGA
rnacentral:tRNA from 6 species